rnacentral:rRNA from 1 species
CACGUAGGGUGCGAGCGUUGUCCGGAAUUAUUGGGCGUAAAGAGCUCGUAGGCGGUGUGUCACGUCGGCCGUGAAAACCUGCAGCUUAACUGUGGGCUUGCGGUCGAUACGGGCAUCACUGGAGUUCGGCAGGGGAGACUGGAAUUCCUGGUGUAGCGGUGAAAUGCGCAGAUAUCAGGAGGAACACCGGUGGCGAAGGCGG